AUUGAACGCUGGCGGCAGGCCUAACACAUGCAAGUCGAGCGGAUGAAGGGAGCUUGCUCCUGGAUUCAGCGGCGGACGGGUGAGUAAUGCCUAGGAAUCUGCCUGGUAGUGGGGGGUAACGUCCGGAAACGGGCGCUAAUACCGCAUACGUCCUGAGGGAGAAAGUGGGGGAUCUUCGGACCUCACGCUAUCAGAUGAGCCUAGGUCGGAUUAGCUAGUUGGUGGGGUAAAGGCCUACCAAGGCGACGAUCCGUAACUGGUCUGAGAGGAUGAUCAGUCACACUGGAACUGAGACACGGUCCAGACUCCUACGGGAGGCAGCAGUGGGGAAUAUUGGACAAUGGGCGAAAGCCUGAUCCAGCCAUGCCGCGUGUGUGAAGAAGGUCUUCGGAUUGUAAAGCACUUUAAGUUGGGAGGAAGGGCAGUAAGUUAAUGCCUUGCUGUUUUGACGUUACCAACAGAAUAAGCACCGGCUAACUUCGUG
rnacentral:rRNA from 1 species